UCCUGCUGUAGAUAUUUGUCCCAGGCUAGA
rnacentral:piRNA from 1 species